AGGUUCUUCAAAUAAUUCAAAAUGGCCGCCGCCUGGCGUAUUGGUAACAGUGGCUAGUGUUGUGACAACGAUCCCCAUGAUAAUUCUUAUUCUCAGGGAUUUAGUAAUCUAUCAUAGUUUUCGUGAAUAAUAGCAUUAUUAGAGUAUCUGACACCUGGUAUCGCAGUUUUACUAUGAAACCUUUUGACGAACAUUGAAUGGCUGUAAAGAAGAGUUUACAAUUUACAUCGAUCAUGCGAUAUUGUAAAACGAAAGUGAGCAAUCAGGUGCUCCUGGUAGUGAAAUUAAAACUUGUUUGUUAUAUUUGUAUAGCCAACCUUAUUAUGGUUAAGAUGUGGUUCCCACACGCAUUUAACAAUUUGGAAAGCCGACUUACUUUUUCAUUCAUUUAAAAGUCUAAUUUCCGUAAUGUACUCUCUUGAGUCUUGAGCAAAUGAAACCUUGAAUGAACUGGAAUUUUCACUUGGUGAACAUUUUGAACGCCAAUAUGUUCCAUUGGGAUAUUCGGCCACAUCAUCAACAAUCACAGGCUAUUCAAAAUAUCUAUGCAUCACCUAUUUAUGUGCCAGUUCCCGAUUCACUACCUUCCCAAAUCAAUUAACCGGAGCCAGUGGAACGUUUGGAUUCAAAAGAAAGAGUUUCUCAGUUGGAAGAUCUAUAGUGGAUGCUGGAACUACAGAAGAAGAUUCAGGAAUUGGAGUUUAGUUGGCAGGAAGCCAAAGCCAAACAAGCUGUUCCAGCCGGUUGUCAUUGACAAAUCGACAUCUGCAGCUAUUUCCACUGGAGCAAGAAGCCGAACUUUGUGUGCUCCUGAAAAGAAUUCUUCUACCUCAUCUUGUGUCUCUUCUAAAAUUCUGAUUGAAAUUGAUCUUCUGCACGUCCGAUUGAGCAAUGUGAUCACCUCAACCGGAGCUGUCGUUGUCAACCGUCGUCGCAUUGGAAAGAUAGCCGACAACUAUCAGGAGCCGAUUGGGCGUGGAGAAGUCUUCAAAGGAACUUGGCAUGGAUGUCAAGUAGCCGUCAAAGAAAUCCGCUCUCCUUGGCGUUGCAGCACAGUCGUCGAGGCUCGAUCGUUCGCCAAGAUGAUUAAACGAUAGGUUGAAGCCCUUUCAGCAGUCCGAUAUUAUUGGACUGCUCCGUAUUUGUAUGGAUAACGAAUCGAGUGAUGGUGAAACAUCGAAUAGAGUCUCGCUCUUCUUUCAAUUCCCCAACGGAGGGACUCUUUUUUGAAUGUCUUUUCGGUGGCCAAGCUAAAAACAGCAAAUUCAAAUUAGACGUGAAUCAAAUGAUGCUGAUCGCUCGCCAUCUCACCGCGAAACUCUCCAUCUACUGCAUUCCAGUCAGCAGAAACCGGGCGGUUCAGUUAUGGUCCACCGUGACGUGAAAUCCGCCAAUGUUUUACUGCAACGGGAUGACGAAGGAAGAGUCGUGCGAGCUGGUUUGGCCGAUUUAACGUCUUCAUUUGGAUCUUAACGAAAGUGGCUCCGGCUCUGGCCUAGCAGCCAGUUUCAUGACAGCCGUGGUAGGUAGCCACGGCUGUGUCCAUUUUAUGCGGAGAGUUCAAUCUACAGACGGGCCGGCCAGUUUGCAUGUCCUUCACGCUUGAAGGUCGCGGGGAAUAUUACGUAAAAGUGUCAUGCGACGGCGGAGAGGUUGGACCCAUCCCCAGCAACGUCAACCUAAAAAAGGAAAGGCAAGUUUCCAUUUUCGUCAAUUUCGAAGGUCACGGAGAUACCAUUACGUUAAACGUGUCAUGUGGAGUAGAGGUUGGGUGAGAAUGGGAAGUGUCAUCAUUAUCAAGCAGGUACAAUAGCCGCAAGACUUAAGAGGUUAGGGGUAGAAAAAAAAUCGUAUAAAAGGAGAGAGAAAAGGCAUUUGAAAUCAGUUGAGUGAGGAUCUCCAACAUGGCAACUGCUGUGCACAAUUCGUCACCAAAUGCAUUCUUCAUUCUAAAAUCAUUUCGCAAUGAGAAAAAAAAAGGUCAAAGAAAUCAGUCGAGUGAUCAUCUCCGAUACGGCAAUAGCAACUGCAGUGCACUAUUGAUCAUCAAUUGAUUCUUCACUGUGUAACCAGUUCGCAAUCAUGGUUAAUUAUGGCGUUGUGUUGCUGUUGGGUCGACCACGAGUGUACCGAUUUCUCCUGGAUACGGUGGCCCCGAGUUACUUCACCAAAGCGCCUGAGUACUACACUAAGGCUCCCAACUAUUGCACCAUCAAAGCUCCAGACUACUACACCGAGGCUCCAGUUUAUUACACCACUAAAGCAAUCGAAUACUACACCGAAGUGCCAUCGAAGUACUACACUGCAAUCUACGCUGCCCCAGCUUACACCACCAAGUGACCGGAGUACUGCACCACAACCUACGCUGCCCCAGUUCACUACGCCGCCCUGAGCUACACAACCACAUCUGAGGCAGCCGUUAUUACUGCACAGCGGCUGCUUCUUAGUACUACAUUGAACCGGAAUACUACACUGAUGCUCCAGUUUACUACACCACAACCUACGUUACACCUACCGAAGCUCCCAAGUACUACACAACCAAGGCACCCGAGCUACUACUUAGGCUGCUCCGACAUUCUGCACCAAAGCUGCGAAGUAUUCCACUGCCCCGAGUUACUACACAACAAAGGCACCUGAAUGUUACAUCACAACCUACGCUUCUCCAAUUCACUACAUAAUGGCGAAGCCAGAAAUGGAAACAGUCUAGUGCUGUUGUUUGGUGUAUCGUUGACGGUCGAGUCGUCCACUGGUGUACCGGUGCCCCUGGGUGUGGCAGAUACCAAAACCGCAAUGCUACCGUCUUACUACACAACAAACAUACGCAACCAGUUACUACACCUAAAAGGCCGUAUGUUACACAAGGACGUAUGCUACACCGGUUUACUACACCAGUUUACUACACCAGUUUACUACACCGAGGAAUUCAAGUAUUACUCUUCCCCGAACAAAUACCAAACAGAGGCUCCUGUUUACUACACCACCAUCGCCCUCGAGUGUUACACUACAACCUACGCUGCCCCCAACUACUACACUGUAGCUCCGAAGUGCUACACAUCAAUGCACAACCAAUUCGCAAUUGUUUAUUUUUACGUCGUGCUGCUGUUGGUUGUUCUAUCGUUGCCAACGUGUUGACCACUGUACCGAACUCCACCGACUUUGGG